rnacentral:rRNA from 1 species
UACGAGGGGGGCAAAUGUUGUUCGGAAUCACUGGGCGUAAAGGGUGCGCAGGCGGCUCCGCAUGUCGGGCGUGAAAUCCCCGGGCUUAACCUGGGAAUUGCGUCCGAAACUAUGGAGCUGGAGUGUGGCAGAGGGAGGUGGAAUUCCACGUGUAGCGGUGAAAUGCGUAGAGAUGUGGAGGAACACCGAUGGCGAAGGCAGCCUCCUGGGCCAACACUGACGCUCAUGCACGAAAGCGUGGGGAGCAAACAGG